UUGAACGCUGGCGGCAUGCCUAACACAUGCAAGUCGCACGCGAAAGGGGGCAACCCCGAGUAGAGUGGCGGACGGGUGAGUAAUACAUCGGAAUCUACCCAGUAGCGGGGGACAACCCGGCGAAAGCCGGGCUAAUACCGCAUACGACCUACGGGUGAAAGCAGGGGACCGCAAGGCCUUGCACUAUUGGAUGAGCCGAUGUCCGAUUAGCUAGUUGGCGGGGUAAAGGCCCACCAAGGCGACGAUCGGUAGCUGGUUUGAGAGAACGACCAGCCACACUGGGACUGAGACACGGCCCAGACUCCUACGGGAGGCAGCAGUGGGGAAUAUUGGACAAUGGGGGCAACCCUGAUCCAGCGAUGCCGCGUGUGUGAAGAAGGCCUUCGGGUUGUAAAGCACUUUCGGUGGGGACGAACAAGGUCGGGCGAAUACCUCGGCCCUUGACGGUACCCAAAGAAGAAGCACCGGCUAACUCUGU
rnacentral:rRNA from 1 species